rnacentral:rRNA from 1 species
UAGAGUUUGAUCCUGGCUCAGAGCGAACGCUGGCGGCAGGCUUAACACAUGCAAGUCGAACGGGCGUAGCAAUACGUCAGUGGCAGACGGGUGAGUAACGCGUGGGAACGUACCUUUUGGUUCGGAACAACACAGGGAAACUUGUGCUAAUACCGGAUAAGCCCUUACGGGGAAAGAUUUAUCGCCGAAAGAUCGGCCCGCGUCUGAUUAGCUAGUUGGUGAGGUAAAAGCUCACCAAGGCGACGAUCAGUAGCUGGUCUGAGAGGAUGAUCAGCCACACUGGGACUGAGACACGGCCCAGACUCCUACGGGAGGCAGCAGUGGGGAAUAUUGGACAAUGGGCGAAAGCCUGAUCCAGCCAUGCCGCGUGAGUGAUGAAGGCCCUAGGGUUGUAAAGCUCUUUUGUGCGGGAAGAUAAUGACGGUACCGCAAGA